GGUAAUGGCGGCAUAGCUUUUUUGCAGAGGACUGUAAAUCCUCGUGUCACCAGUUCAAAU
rnacentral:tRNA from 1 species